rnacentral:rRNA from 1 species
UACAGAGGGUGCGAGCGUUGUCCGGAAUCACUGGGCGUAAAGGGCGCGUAGGUGGUGGCUUAAGCGUGCGGUGAAAGCUCGGGGCUCAACCCCGAGUCGGCCGUGCGAACUGGGCUCACUGGAGCAUAGUAGAGGCAGGUGGAAUUCCGGGUGUAGCGGUGGAAUGCGUAGAGAUCCGGAAGAACACCGGUGGCGAAGGCGGCAAGCUGGAUGGGCACUGACACUCAACUGCGAAAGCGUGGGGAGCAAACAGG